CCUCUGACCCUUGCCCUCUCUCCCCCCAGGGUACCGAGAAGGCUCCCUCUGGAAGCGAGGCCGGGACAACGGGCAGUUUCUAAGCCGGAAGUUUGUGCUGACUGAGCGAGAGGGGUCCCUGAAGUAUUUCAACAGAAAUGAUGCCAAGGAGCCCAAGGCCGUCAUGAAGAUCGAACAUCUGAACGCCACCUUCCAGCCGGCCAAGAUCGGCCACCCCCACGGCCUGCAGAUCACCUACCUGAAGG